AAACUUAGGUUAAUAUAAACCAAGAGCCUUCAAAGCCCUAAAUAUGAGUAUAAUAAACCUCCUAGUCUCUG
rnacentral:tRNA from 1 species